ACACUUUGCCAAGUUGUUGAAUGCUCGGAAUAUUUCUGAGUAUUAUGAUUCAUUACUUGUAUAGGAAGAUCUGAUGA
rfam:Eutrema salsugineum unplaced genomic scaffold scaffold_16, whole genome shotgun sequence.